GUGUACCUACGGGACGCAGCAGUGGGGAAUAUUGGGCAAUGGGCGCAAGCCUGACCCAGCAACGCCGCGUGAAGGAAGAAGGCCCUCGGGUUGUAAACUUCUUUUGUCAGGGACGAAGAAAGUGACGGUACCUGUCGAAUAAGCCACGGCUAACUACGUGCCAGCAGCCGCGGUAAUACGUAGGUGGCAAGCGUUAUCCGGAUUUACUGGGUGUAAAGGGCGUGUAGGCGGGACUGCCAGUCAGAUGUGAAAUUCCAGGGCUCAACCCUGGAACUGCAUUUUAAAC
rnacentral:rRNA from 1 species